AGUGGCGAACGGGUGAGUAAAGUAUCGGAACGUGCCCAGUCGUGGGGGAUAACGUAGCGAAAGUUACGCUAAUACCGCAUACGAUCUAUGGAUGAAAGCGGGGGAUCGCAAGACCUCGCGCGAUUGGAGCGGCCGAUAUCAGAUUAGGUAGUUGGUGGGGUAAAGGCUCACCAAGCCGACGAUCUGUAGCUGGUCUGAGAGGACGACCAGCCACACUGGGACUGAGACACGGCCCAGACUCCUACGGGAGGCAGCAGUGGGGAAUUUUGGACAAUGGGCGCAAGCCUGAUCCAGCCAUGCCGCGUGCAGGAUGAAGGCCUUCGGGUUGUAAACUGCUUUUGUACGGAACGAAAAGGUUUGGCCUAAUAAGCUGAGCUCAUGACGGUACCGUAAGAAUAAGCACCGGCUAACUACGUGCCAGCAGCCGCGGUAAUACGUAGGGUGCGAGCGUUAAUCGGAAUUACUGGGCGUAAAGCGUGCGCAGGCGGUUAUGUAAGACAGAUGUGAAAUCCCCGGGCUCAACCUGGGAACUGCAUUAGUGACUGCAUAGCUGGAGUACGGCAGAGGGGGGAUGGAAUUCCGCGUGUAGCAGUGAAAUGCGUAGAUAUGCGGAGGAACACCGAUGGCGAAGGCAAUCCCUCUGGGCCUGUACUGACGCUCAUGCACGAAAGCGUGGGG
rnacentral:rRNA from 1 species